CAGUUUGUGAUUGGUCCCUGCAGAUUUGUAAUGGAAUCAAGAUUGAAAAAUGUACAGGUUCCCGGCCUGAGCUGCAGGGCUAAAUCAAAUCGCGGGCAGAUCGGGCUGGGUUCACCCAGUCUAAGCGUUUUAGGCAGU